GACAGAGGUCCCGAGCGUUAGGCGGAAUCACUGGGCUUAAAGCGUGUGUAGGCGGAGUGCUAAGUACCUUGUGAAAUCCCACGGCUCAACCGUGGAACUGCUUGGUAUACUGGUUCUCUUGAGCCACCUAGGGGCAACCGGAACAAACGGUGGAGCGGUGAAAUGCGUAGAUAUCGUUUGGAACGCCAAUGGUGAAAACAGGUUGCUGGGGGUGUGCCGACGCUGAGACACGAAAGCCAGGGGAGCAAACGGG
rnacentral:rRNA from 1 species